UCUUUUCCCCUUACUUAUAUUCCCUAUAAAAAAUGUUCGUUGUUAGAAUAAAGUACAAAGAACUUCUUAAGGAUUUGCCUUCAACUGUAAUUAUAUUGUAUGCUGGCGACACAAAACUAUCCAUAGUCGCUGCAUGUUUAUGCACCUGUCCUGAUUGAUUCAGGGGCCUGUCGUUCAGCAGUUAUCGUUUGUUGAUGUUGUUCAUUGGUAUUUUCCCGUUUGGAUAUAUAAAUUAGAUCGUUGGUUUUCCUGUUCGAAUUGUGUGCGCUAAUAAUUUUGGGGUCCUUUAUAGCUUGCUGUUUGGUCUGUAUCAAAGCCCUGUGUAAAAGGCCGUACUUUGACCUGUGUUUGUUAUUAUCAGGUUGAGAACAACCCUCCCUUAGACAAGGGAUCAUUUUACUGAUGUAGAAAAGAAAAUAGAAAUACCACGGAUUUGUAUAGACCUUUGAAAACUUAGAAUUUUG
rnacentral:lncRNA from 1 species